GACAGAGGAUGCAAACGUUGCUCGGAAUUACUGGGCGUAAGGCGCGUGUAGGCGGUCUGGUAAGUCGGACGUGAAAUCCCGGGGCUCAACCCCGGAAGUGCGCUCGAUACUGCCGGACUUGGGUUCUGAAGAGGAGAGCGGAAUUCCCGGUGUAGAGGUGAAAUUCGUAGAUAUUCGCAAGAACACCAGUGGCGAAGGCGGCUCACUGGCCCGGUACUGACGCUGAGGUGCGAAAGCGUGGGGAGCAAACAGG
rnacentral:rRNA from 1 species